rnacentral:rRNA from 1 species
CGAAAGCCUGACGGAGCAACGCCGCGUGAGGGACGAAGGCCUCUGGGCUGUAAACCUCUUUUCUCAAGGAAGAAGAUAUGACGGUACUUGAGGAAUAAGCCACGGCUAAUUCCGUGCCAGCAGCCGCGGUAAUACGGGAGUGGCAAGCGUUAUCCGGAAUUAUUGGGCGUAAAGCGUCCGCAGGCGGCCUUUCAAGUCUGCUGUUAAAGCGUGGAGCUUAACUCCAUUAUGGCAGUGGAAACUGAUUGGCUUGAGUAUGGUAGGGGCAGAGGGAAUUCCCGGUGUAGCGGUGAAAUGCGUAGAUAUCGGGAAGAACACCAGUGGCGAAGGCGCUCUGCUGGGCCAUUACUGACGCUCAUGGACGAAAGCCAGGGGAGCGAAAG